UUGCUUCAGCAGCACAUAUACUAAAAUUGUAAUGAUACAGAGUAGAUUAGCAUGGCCCCUGAACAAGGAUGACAUGUAAACUCGUGAAGCAUUCCAUAUUUUU